GAGGAUAUAGCUCAGUGGUAGAGCUUAGCAUGCACGAGGUCCUGGGUUCAAUCCUCAGUAUCUCCA
rfam:Camelus ferus unplaced genomic scaffold scaffold19572, whole genome shotgun sequence.